UUACUCUGUUACUCUAAGUAAAUUCAGUUGUGUGAUAAAAAUGGGUCAAAUGUAAUAUGUAUUCUAUAAAUUAUAGAAAAAAUAUUUCUUAGAAAAAUUUCCAAAGAUGAAUGACUUUAGUAUUCAGGGAUAGUGCACUGCUCUUUGAAAACUAUUAAGUAUUUGGGAAUGUCUGGAUUAUGGUGGGCCAGUGCUUUUGAUCAACUGCCCUGCACAAAAAUGAAAAAUGCUUGAGACAGUGUGUGUGUAUAUGUUUAUUCCUGGAGGAUUUAAUCUAUUUAGUUAUAAUUGUGACUAAAAGUUUCACGUCUCAAAAAAUUUAUUAGAGAUUAUGGGCUGUACUUCAUGGGUUUUAAUAUUUCUUUAAAUUAUACCAGAAUGUAAAGCUAACAAAUCUCUUUUAAGGAUAAAGUAGCCAAUAUUUGGUGCAGCUUCAAUGUCUUUCUGAAGAUUAAGGAUAUUUUGCCACGUCACAUCCAAUUAAUAAUGAGCUUUUGUUUUACGUUUUUGAGCCUGCUUCCUGCAUGCAUAAAAUUAAUACUUCAGCCAUCUUCCAAAGGAUUCAAAUUUACACUGGUUAGCUGUGCACUAUCAUUCUUUUUAUUUUCUUUCCAAGUACAUGAAAAAUCCAUUCUCUUGGUAUCACUACCAGUCUGCUUAGUUUUAAGUGAAAUUCCUUUUAUGUCUACUUGGUUUUUACUUGUGUCAACAUUUAGUAUGCUACCUCUUCUAUUGAAGGAUGAACUCCUAAUGCCCUCUGUUGUGACAACAAUGGCAUUUUUUAUAGCUUGUGUAACUUCCUUUUCAAUAUUUGAAAAGACUUCUGAAGAAGAACUGCAGUUGAAAUCCUUUUCCAUUUCUGUGAGGAAAUAUCUUCCAUGUUUUACAUUUCUUUCCAGAAUUAUACAAUAUUUG
rnacentral:sRNA from 1 species